UAAGGAAUAUUGGUCAAUGGACGCAAGUCUGUACCAGCCAUGCCGCGUGAAGGAUGAAGGUCCUCUGGAUUGUAAACUUCUUUUAUCUGGGACGAAAACGGGAUUUUUAUCUCAAUUGACGGUACCAGAGGAAUAAGCACCGGCUAACUCCGUGCCAGCAGCCGCGGUAAUACGGAGGGUGCGAGCGUUAUCCGGAUUUACUGGGUUUAAAGGGUGCGUAGGUGGGCUUAUAAGUCAGUGGUGAAAUCUCCGAGCUUAACUUGGAAACUGCCGUUGAUACUAUAGGUCUUGAAUUAUCUGGAGGUAAGCGGAAUAUGUCAUGUAGCGGUGAAAUGCUUAGAUACGACAUAGAACACCAAUUGCGAAGGCAGCUUACUACAUAUAAAUUGACGCUGAGGCACGAAAGCGUGGGGAUCAAACA
rnacentral:rRNA from 1 species